GCUAUAUAGUGAAGUGGAAAUAAGCAGCUUUUCCUGUUUUGUUUGUUCUGCCAUAGCUUUGUGCUGAGGUUCAACUGCGCUUCGGGUGCACCGUGGAUGAAGCGGAACAACGCCUAAAUAUGGCGGCACAAAUUUUCUCCGACAAACAAGGAAGGGACACCACAUUUGCAUAACUCUCGAGUCACUUGCAAGGUUCGUCAGAGCACUCACUGAUCACUGAGGCUGUGCUACCGACCCAAGUAGAAAUUGCUGCACCACAUGUAUAGGCAUCCAAGGACCAAGUAUUGGUGUAUGGAGGCAGCAAAGAAGAUAUAAUUCACUUGAAGGAACUGAAUAUUGAGCGUACCGUCAUCAUAUGCCUUCUUGUUUACUACCUAAAAAACCUCGCCUACCCAUCUGCAUUUUUGCAAACCCUGAAUCUGGUUCAGAAACGUCUCAGGCCUCAAGAACCAAUCCCACGUGGACUCAUUUCAAACAGAUUGAAGUUCGUCUUCGC